rnacentral:rRNA from 1 species
UACGUAGGGUGCGAGCGUUGUCCGGAAUUAUUGGGCGUAAAGAGCUCGUAGGCGGUUUGUCGCGUCUGCCGUGAAAGUCCGGGGCUCAACUCCGGAUCUGCGGUGGGUACGGGCAGACUAGAGUGAUGUAGGGGAGACUGGAAUUCCUGGUGUAGCGGUGGAAUGCGCAGAUAUCAGGAGGAACACCGGUGGCGAAGGCGGGUCUCUGGGCAGUAACUGACGCUGAGGAGCGAAAGCGUGGGGAGCGAACAGG